rnacentral:tRNA from 1 species
GGGUGCGUGGUGUAGCUGGUUAACACGUCUCCCUGUCACGGAGAAGAUCGAGGGUUCGAGUCCCUUCGCACCCG